rnacentral:rRNA from 1 species
GACGAACGCUGGCGGCGUGCUUAACACAUGCAAGUCGAACGGAAAGGCCCUGCUUUUGUGGGGUGCUCGAGUGGCGAACGGGUGAGUAACACGUGAGUAACCUGCCCUUGACUUUGGGAUAACUUCAGGAAACUGGGGCUAAUACCGGAUAGGAGCUCCUGCUGCAUGGUGGGGGUUGGAAAUUUUCGGCGGUUGGGGAUGGACUCGCGGCUUAUCAGCUUGUUGGUGGGGUAGUGGCUUACCAAGGCUUUGACGGGUAGCCGGCCUGAGAGGGUGACCGGCCACAUUGGGACUGAGAUACGGCCCAGACUCCUACGGGAGGCAGCAGUGGGGAGUAUUGCACAAUGGGCGGAAGCCUGAGGCAGCAACGCCGCGGGCGGGAUGACGGCCUUCGGGUUGUAAACCGCUUUCGCCUGUGACGAAGCGUGAGUGACGGUAAUGGGUAAAGAAGCACCGGCUAACUACGUG